AGCGGAGGAAAAGAAACCAACAGGGAUUGCCCUAGUAACGGCGAGUGAAGCGGCAACAGCUCAAAUUUGAAAUCUGGCCCUCGGGUCCGAGUUGUAAUUUGCAGAGGAUGCUUUUGGCGCGGUGCCUUCCGAGUUCCCUGGAACGGGACGCCUUAGAGGGUGAGAGCCCCGUACGGUUGGACACCAAGCCUCUGUAAAGCUCCUUCGACGAGUCGAGUAGUUUGGGAAUGCUGCUCUAAAUGGGAGGUAAAUUUCUUCUAAAGCUAAAUAUUGGCCAGAGACCGAUAGCGCACAAGUAGAGUGAUCGAAAGAUGAAAAGCACUUUGAAAAGAGGGUUAAACAGCACGUGAAAUUGUUGAAAGGGAAGCGUUUGCGACCAGACCUCUUCCCGGCGGAUCAUCCGGUGGUUUCCACCGGUGCACUUCGCCGGGUCGAGGCCAGCAUCGGUUUCUGCAGGGGGAUAAAAGCCCUGGGAACGUAGCUCCUCCGGGAGUGUUAUAGCCCUUCGCAUAAUACCCUUGCGGGGACCGAGGACCGCGCCUUCGGGCAAGGAUGCUGGCGUAAUGGUCGUCAACGACCCGUCUUGA
rnacentral:rRNA from 1 species